GUCUCACUGUGGAGCCCUAGAUAGCCUAUAUUGGCUGAGGUUGGCCUCAAACUUACGACAAUAUUCCUGUCUCAGCCUUCAGAGUUCUGGGAUUACAGGCGGGAUGGCUCACAUGAAGCUCGACAUUCCAGCCAGGCUGGCUGCCCAGUGACUAGACUGCUCGGGAUCUGCCCUUCUCUGCUGCACAACAAUAGGCCUACAGGAUUAGUGCCUGGCUCAGCCACCCUACCCACUCCCUUUUGAAGCCGAAUUCCAGAGCCCAGGCGCCACAUUCACAAGCAAGGAGCCUCAUAAAACAGACUAUAAAUACCCAGGAGGGUUACAGCACCAUGUGGAGGUCCAAAGUGUCUUCAGUUCGUCAUUUACAGGUGAUUGCAUUAGCGAUACUUUGUACCGGUUAAUCACCCCUUUAAUAACAUUUUCUGAUUACAAGAUAAUGCAUAUGUAUGUUAGAAAGUGUAGGAAAUAAGUUUUCAAAAAGCAUAACCAUCCAUGCUCUCAUUCCGCCCU